rnacentral:lncRNA from 1 species
AGCUGGCUCAGGAGCAAAGAUAUUAGCUUCUCUGAGACUUCUCGAUGAUGACUUUCUCAAAUCCCAUUAGAAUCUCCAUGCAAUCGAUAUAGGUGACUUCUGCAGGCGAAGGUCAUGUGUCGCUGGUCAUUUCAUUCACCACCUCAAUGCUGCCGGAAUUAAUCAGCAGAUUUGAGCUACCCAGACUUUGUGCAAAUAAGAUAGCUCGUUGCAGUGCCAUCGCCUCGACCAUGGUUGUAUCGUAAGCCACAUGAAUCAAGAUGUUUGUUGCGCCCAACAUAAGGUUAGGUAGAUAAGAGCAUCCUUUCCUAAAGAUAUGUUGGUGAAAUAUUGCACUCAAAUAUGAGUUACAGUUAAUUGACGCAUUUCUUCACGAACCCAACUCAUAUAAACCAAUCUGAUGGCAUGAGAAUUAAGUUGGUCUCUAAAACUUAUAUCUUAAAUCACACAAUAUUGAUUUUCACGCACUAUUGAGUAUCAGCAUUGUAUUAGCUACAAAAACAAAAAAACAAAAUUCGGAAUCAUAUUCUUAUGCUUUACUUUUUCUCAAAAAAUCACAUUUAGAUUUGUCUUGUGCAAGUUACUAACAAUCUCUUAUUUUGAAGUCAUAUUCUUCUAUGCUUUGCUUUUCUUUGUGCCUGAGAUAAAUUCUUAGCAAUAUUUAUGUUUUUAUUUAGGUGCACCAUAGUUUCUAAAUUAUAUUUCUUUAAGUACUAAUUAAGAUAUACAGAACAUGACAACAGACCUAGGAUAAUUAUGAGACGUAGGUAGGACGGUAAAAGAAAUACUUGUAAACACUGCUUGGGAAGUGUAAUUUUGUCAAGGGGGUGUAGCCUUUAAACGAAACAGGCAUAUCCCAGUUUAUGGAGAGCCCCAACCUCGUAUGCGAAACCACA